CCUGCGGACGCAUGUAUGGAAAUUGGAUGGAAUACACUGUGUGGUGCAGUACAAACAUUAGCAGGGAUUUGCGUUUGGCAUGAUACAGCUUAACAGUGGAAAAAACGCUGUGUUCAGGGUUGUGUAUCAAUAAAUCACAACACCAGCCUGAAUUGUAAAGUCUUCUGUGUGUACUGCACAGAAAUAGAAAUGCUGUUAAACAUGUUUCUAGAAUGAUUUCCCUAAAAUGUGUGUUGUAUCCCUCAGCCAAUACAGCUGCACAUUAUGGUGCCAUACUGCAAGUCUCCAGAACAUGCUGCCCAUGGACUGGAGGAGAUUCAACUCAAAGUUGAAUUUUACAGUUUGAAAAUGGUGCUUCUUUACUUCUCAUGGCUAAAAGUAAACUUUCUUGUCAUGUGUUGGCGUUGAGGCACUGCAGCAGGGGAGCUGCAGGGCCUCUGUGAGGGAGCCGGGGCUGUCCCACACCAGUUCCAGAAAGUUCUGGAGGGCCCAGGGCAGGGCCCAGCCCCUCAGUGGCUCCUGAGGGGAAAAGGGCUGGAAGAAAGGGCAGCGUGGUGCUGGGCAGCAAGGGUGAGGGGAAAAAGGAAUCAAGACUAGUUAAGUGCAAUUCUCCAUUUGAUGAAGAAAUAGUUUCUAAAAUUUGGAAGCUAGUCCUUUUGAAAGGCAGUGAACUCCUCUGGGGAGAUAAGAGUGUGCCAAGUCCUGAGGGCUUUAUUGAGAAGAGGAUGUCUGAAGUCACCGUGCAUGGGCAGGCACAGAGCUCGUACGAUUUAUACAGGUACAAUUCACACAAGUCUGUCUGACUUCACCUCCUCCUCCACACCACGCUGGACCCACUUGUGUGCCUAUUGCUCUAAUGCCUCCAGCAAGUAGCUUUGCAGCCCCUGCUCCUUUCCCUCGGCUGUGGUUUGACAAGAAGGCUCUCAGCUCGAGCCUGCAUCUGGGAAGAUCUGAUGACUUGGCCAAGAUUUCCAGCUGCUGAAGUUACCUCGGUAGAUCAGUUCUUGUUGCAUAUGUGCAGUAGCUUUGCCUGGACUGCUGUGUUUCUGGAAAUCUGGAGCAUAAGUACAGUGCCGAGGCUCUGCAGCCUGUCAGACUAGGUCUGGCAGAGCUGGGGAGAGCCUUCGCAGCGUGCACGCCACACAUUUGGUCAGAGUGGGUGUCCAAGGCCCGGGCUGCUUUUUAGCCCUCUGAUUUGCAGCACCUGUGCAGACCAACACAAGCCUGACACUUCCCAGACUCAGCGGACUUAGGCAUAAGUUAAUGCUGGGGGGAACAUGCACACGUCUGUCCGGGAAGUUGCAAUCAACCAGCACCUGAAAGGCCAACAGAGCUAGUGAAAAGAUUUACAAUAAAUAUGUGUCCACAUACGUAGCAGAGGGAAUUGUCUUUUGUGGCCAUCUUGAAUCUUUUAGCUCAGAUUGACUGUAAUGCAAGAUUGGCUGUACUGCUGUGUGAGGUUCCACAUGCAGAGCACAUAUGGGCAUCAGACCACAUAACCCGAAAAUACACAUUUCUCUAGUGACAUUUAGCCUUAGUUUUCCAAAUGAAGACAUUGACUUGCAGCAAGACAGGCUUUUAAAGGAUGGAACUGUAAGUGUUUAUUUACCCAUGGUGUAAUUUUUAUCUUUCAUAAGAACACGGGUAUCAGCUGCUUAAUUACAGGAUUAUGUAUGUAAACGUGCACUUUAUAAAAAUUUGGAAGUAAAACCUUUGCCUAAAAAAAACAGUCUUAUUCUUGGCAAUCGAGUUCCAUCUACAGAAGCCUUUCAUGUUAGAGACAUAUCCCAUAUGUGAGUUAUUGUUAUAAUACAAUAAAUACUUUACAAAAAUAAUGCUAGCUUUUUUUUAAAAAAAAAAAUGAAGAAAUUUAACUCACCAUAGUCCCACCCAAACAGCUUCCUUGAAGAAUAGGUUCUUCUGUAGGAUACUGUACACUCAGCAUAUGAUAAAAAGGGGAAAAGAGGCUGGUUCCAUGCUUUGUCUGAGGGAACUUAGAAAUGUAUAUUCCACUUUUCCUGUUUUUUAAAAAAUAAACUUCCUUCUUUUCUUGAAAGAAAGAAGCAGAUCUAAACACUCUUCAUAUUAAAAAUUGAGAAGUAACUGUGAUUCUUUUUGCCUUUGACAUGAUUUCCUUCUGUGGCCUCACUCCUCUAAAGACUUACAGCACACUUAAUUUACAGGUAGCUGCCCUGAAGCUCUGCUCCCCAGCGUAAGACAUAAGCCCUGUCAGCUGUAGUUCCACAUCUGAGAAGUCUCCAGGAAUGGGCUGUUCGUGACACCUGGAGAACCACUGCAUUGGGACUGUUCCUUGUCCACAGGAAAACCGCAGCUACGCCCCCCUGCAGGUCUACCCCAGAUGGACAGCAAGGACCUGAGCUAGAGGGUAACAGGAAGAAUUCCAAGAAAGAAUUGCUAGUAAGGACAAGCCUUCUGAUAAGGAAACAUGACUUCAUUCUCUUCUGGUAGACAGCCAAGACAAACAAUACCAAGUCUGCACUGCUGAGGCUCGGUGGCACUGGACUCAUCUACACUCUGCCCAGCCCCAUUUAACUCUAAGGCACCUUCUGACAGCUGUGAGGAGAUUGGUAAGUAGUAAUGGCUCCAUGUAGUAGUAGUAAUAGUAGUAAUGCCACCAGUAAUGCCUCCAUGAUAUGGCCCAAGAGUUAGGGUGGUGGUGUGAGAAGUGGCUGCUUCUUCAGGAGAGCAAUUGCUCCCCUAUCCCAAUGUAAAAUUUGAAAAAUUGGCAUUCACUGAACUCUUCCUGGUACUGGAGAGUUAGCCUUAACAGCAUUAGCCCAUGACCAUGCAUAUACAUACACGUGAUACACAAAUAUGUAUCUUGUUUGAUUGGUUUCUAUACUGGGGAUUGUUUAUAAAAAGGAAAAAAAGAAAACAGAUCUAGAACUAUAGUCAUGAAAACGGAGCGGUUAAGACAGCUCUGGAAAAGCUUUCAUGCUGGGUAACUAUUCCAACAAAAAUAUGUUCUCUCAAAAAUUAAGAAAUAGAUCUUGUUUAGUAUUUCUAUCUCAGAGACUGCUUUAAAGAAUUCAUUUUCCCUGUUUUCUUCUUCCAGUGAUUAUCAAAACUGCAACGAUGAUUAUUUAUUUUUCUGUCAGACUUCCCAAAAUGUCUGUGGUAACAUGGUUCUUGUAUAAAUCCACAAUCAUCUCCAGAAGCAUUCAAGCCUAAAAUGAAGCCAUUUCUUUUAUGGUUGUUUGAGCUAUAAAUAAGGAUGUUCCUCUAAAAAUUGUUAAAAACAAUUGGCAUAGGUACAUUAAAACAACAGAUUUGCAAUGAAUUUCUAAUGAAAUAAGUGUAUCAAGCACAGAUGUCUUGAGACACCAACAUCCAAUUUUCUCCUGGCCAAAAAUAUACAGAAGAUAAAUAUUAACCCCGCCUGCUGGAGUGCACAAAAAGUUCUAUGUGCUUUGUCCUGUUUACUGAGACAAUGUUUCUGAAUUCACUUUAAUGGUGUAAACAUUGCCCUAAGCAACUGGAAGAUUAUGUUACAGGAAGAACUAUGCUUGCAGUACUGUGCAAGCCGUGGAGUCUACCACAUGGCUAUCCUCUGUUUCCUUUGUGAAACUGACGCAAACUGUCAGUGCAGCACCAGCCAUUCUGCAAGGUGAGUGUGCAAGUCAGCAGUGCAGUAUAAUAGCAGAACAGAAAUUAGUUAAUUAUAAGGUAUUGAAACGAUAAAUUUAGGUUUACACCACAUAACGACUCAGCUAAAAUGGUAUCAGCAGUGAUAUCAAGUUACUCCUGGUUAUGUCAUGACACUUUUCUGGACUAGUUGGAAGGAAAGUGAAGGACUUUGAAAUUUGCUGGGAGCAAAGAAGACAACACGACAAAAUUUAACAUUUGUGUUAUAUGGUGUCACUCUUAGUUGCACUUUCUGAUGGGCCUAACUGAAUCCCACAACUCAAACUCUGGUCCCAAGCCCAGCUCUGAAUUUUGUGCUCUGUGACGAGCCCUUGCUACACCAUGACAUGCAGAGGUAACAGCUCUGUAUUUAAAGCAGUUUAAGCAUGGCCCUCUGGCACCCUGUUCUGCCAAGACUAAUCCCUCCAGCUCACCAUGAGGACUAGCUAGUUCCUGGUGUGGCUAUGCUCUGCUCUGGUGCUGCAGCAAGCUCGGUGAAGCAGACAGACUGACCAGGCAGAUGGUCUUUGGAGCAGGGAGUUCUCCCUGGUACAGACCCAGCCUAAGGAACAACAAAAUGAACAUGCACUUUCAGCUUUUCCACAUCUUAGUUUGAUGACAGGGACAAUUGCGCUGCUACUAUCUCAAAGAAUUAAGCCCUAGAAGCAUUACAAGAACAGAGUGCUACCUACUGGAGCCCUCCAAUUCUUACUGUGCUAGAUUAGGGAUGAGAAGUGCUGGUCAGAGGUCAGUAUUACAGAUAUUGAUGAGCCUUUUGUGACAAUACUGACAGGGCGUUGCUUUCCAGUGCAGUGAAGCCAGCAGCUUCAAAUGACAAAUAUAAAGGUUAUCUUAAAGAUACAUCAAAUAAAAUAAAAUUAAUUAAUUAAUUAAUUAGUUUAAUUUAAUUAAAACUACAUGUGAUAUGGAUGGAGGUGAGGGGAAUGGGUACUGAUGAACCUGGAAAAGAGUUACUUUGAAGUCUGCAGUUAUUUUUUAAAGCAGAUCUUACAGCCUUUUUUCCUCUGUAUUCCAUAUCUUCCUAGUGGUUCUGUGUGGAGCUUUUUUAUCUUUAUUUAUUUUAUUUAUUUAUUUAUUUAUUUUAAGAGAAGGUAGAAACUGAGUAGAUAUCAAACAGAAUAAAUAAACCUAACAAAGCAGCACUAGUGUAGUAUGACUGGCAAAUAUGGCUCACAGGCCUCAUGCAACAUGCCACCAAGGAGGCAGCAUUAACUUUUUCUGCCUUAGAAUCACUCCUAUCAAUUAUUACUAAUGCCACAAUUCACAGUGAGGAUACUAACCAAAACAGGUUUAAUCAUAUCCUCCUCUAGUUCAGUUUCCAGGCCACAUCAACACAUUUUUUUAGGCCAGGAAUAUUACCUAACUGUUUCUACUCGGAACCCAUCUUGUCAAUCAUCACUGCUGGAACUCACCCAGUUGUAUUUCAGGUAUACUGCGUGUGAAAUUUGGUCAAGAUUCAAGAUCUUCAAAAAGGAUCAAUAUCAACAAAAAGCUCUUGUCUGACAAACAAUAGGGAGUUUUCCCUUUUUUCUUCAUUUGUUAAGGUGCCCAGUGCUGCUAGGAAAGCAGCAAAGCAGUGGGACAACAGAGAGCAGCGCUCUACCUACACAAGCCUGAGAAACCAGGAGUGAAAAGCACAGCGGAGAGACAUGGGAAAAAGUUCAACUGCAUGAUGAGGCAUCAGGUUCCAAACAGAGGAAUAGCCAGGAAGGUGGAAGACACAGGGCCCAGGGUCUCAAAGGACAGCUGAGAGGUUGUAGAAGGCUGGUUGGAAGAGAUGAGAAAAAAAACAUCAGAAAUGGAAAAUAAGCAGGUUCCUAUACAUCCCCCACAUGGCUUUAUUGUGUUACUUAGAACAAGUAGGAACAAGUCUGUCCUCUCUGAACAACCCUGCAUUUAAAAGGUCUUCAUAGCAUCCCUCAGCUAGUUUAUGUCAAAUGAGUGCAAACCUAUGCAAAAGGGGUACUCCUCAUGUGAGGAAAUCCAGAGAAAAGGUGCGAUCAGUUUCUGUAAUCAUCUUCUCUUGCUGAAGCGUAACAGACAUUGACAGAAUAGUUGAAAUGACAAAAAAAGAAAAUCAAAUACCUCAAACCAAACAGCCCUCCUUUGCACAACAGCAGCCCUUGCAGUUACUCUCAAACAACCAGUGUAAAAGUAGUGCUAAAGCAUAAAACUCCCCUUGAAACAUUGCAAGAUUUAACCAGGCUGGAACACCAUAGAACGACCAGUAAGUGUCAUCCCGGUCUUGCAUGCAUAGAGUCAAACAGCAUUUGCAUUACUGCAGCAAGACAGUCCACUAUACUUAUAUUUGAUUAUCACCUGAUAAACACAGUAGUAGCCUAGGGACAUGUUAAUUUUCUGAAUUCCUGUGAUUGUGUUCUGAUAUCCACCACUUCCUCCCUGAAAGAGAACACAACUCGGGCAUGAUACAGCAAUUACCUUCUUGCAGGAAACCAGAGAAGGAAUGGUCAUAAAGAAAACCCACCAGAGUAUCUUUUCAACUUGCUUUCUUAGGCUGAUUUUUUACAUCUGUUUAUUAGGUUUUUAAAAUUUCCAGGUACAAUUUCCCUUUAAAAUGUUAUUUUUGGUCUACACAGACUUAUAGUAGUAAAAAGCAAAGAGGCUGUGAGGUCCAUGAGAGGUAAAUGUGGCCAUUGUACUAGAUUAACACACAGCUGUUUGUUUUUUUUUCCUCCUUUUCAACCAAAUCCCAGGACACAAAAUAUUAAUUUGCUACAGUACCGUGGACUUCACAGCACUGCUAUACUGUGCAAUACGAGGGUCACCUUUAUCCUGACUCCUGUCAUAAAGAGGCAAGAGGCUGGCUCGAUGUCUCACAACCAGUCCCCUGCUGCUGUUUCACCAGCUGCCUCUAAUGCUUUUUCCACUUACUGCUCGUUAUGUCCACUCACAUGUUCCUGUCCUCUUCUAACUGCAAGCAGGAGCCCCAUCUGGCAGUGAGCUGACACUUUCUAGGUUGGUGGCUGUCCUCUGGAGCAGCCAGUGCCCCUCUUCCCAAGAAGAAGCCACACAAAUUGUCUCUAGGCUGCACGUAGCAUGUGGAGGGCUGGAUGCAAAGCCAUCGGGGAUGUCAAACCAUGUUAGCUGCAGCAGAAACCGAGUUUGUAUCCUCUUGCUUACUCAGCAGUGCUCAUUCAAAAUGCAACCAUGCUGUAUAUUACAUUGCAUGUACGUAAUAGAUCAGAUCUCCAGAGAUGUUUGGUCCAUGAUUGUGAAAUCGCGUCCUGUGUAUCACGGUCCUAUGAAGGCUCUUCAGUUAACAACCUCAGAACUACAACUUACAGAGCCCGAAGCCAUUGCAAAAAAGAAAAAUGAGUAUUGAUUCUGCUUUCACUUGCCAAACAGAUGAUGAGAAAUUCGCAAGUCAACAAGUGUCAUUAUUUCCAUUCAGAUAAGUAAAGUAUUGGUUAAUGAGCAAGAAUUCACUAUACAUCUUUUUUUUUUCCCCACAAGAGCAGACCACCUUUUACAACCUUCAAGCAAAGAAAUAAACUUUCGUUGACUUUUUAAUGAAUUAAUGGCAGCUUUAUCUCAGUAAUGCUUGAACUGCUGUAGGACAGUCAACCAGGAACUUCAGGAAUCUCUGUAUAUCCCUAUUUUUGCACCUGAGUAAGCAGACUAAAUAUAAAGCAGAACGUAAGGAGCCUAUUUCGGAAAGAGUUGAUCCUUGUGUGUAAGAGCUCUGUUAUUAAUGUUGCCCAAUGUUUUCCAGUUUACAGGACUAGGCUUUCCAGUUCUCAGAGUCCAGCAAAACUGCUGACUUAGUUGGCUGACACAUUUCCAGCAUCAGGUGGUGGAAAAAGAGUUCAUAGCAGAAGUAGUUACUGUAAAGACAAGCCAGGGAAAUGUUUCCAUCCUCCACUCAUUUAUCGAUUCCCUAGGUCUAAAUGUUAAAUGCUGUCAUGAAUCAGAGAAAGAUUUUGUUUCCUCUUCUCCUCCUCCGUGGUUUACAUACUGUUCAAAUGGCGAUGUUACACCAUUCACCUCCUGCCACAACCUGGGGCCCCUACAGCUUCCCCACCUUCCCUUCCUAAGGCUUUCUGGAAGGCUUCUCCCAGCGUGCGGGAUGCGUACAGGCACCACAUGUUGAACAUGUUUACUACCUUGGCCUGUCAAGUGUUGGACCUGCACUUGAUCCAAAGCUGUUAGACUUCUUAACGUUGCAAGCCAUCUAUGAAGUAAUGGAGCGUUGACUUGAGACAGCUUGUUCUCUCACGAAUAGAUCUUUUAUAUCUUUAUGUAUGUACUUCUUAGACAUAUCAAAAGGAUGGCAAUUUUGUGGGCUGGGGGACUAUAAGAAGCCAGGAAUUUAUUUAACCAGAAUACUCGUUCUAUUAGCGUAUUGUUUUUAUAAGCACAUCUUAGGCAGAACUACAUUUCAAUUUAUUGUUUUGGUUAAAAAAGACUGCUUAUUAAUGCCAAUUUUGCUUUAAGGCUCUGAAUUAAAACCAAAUCACUCAUUUUUUCCUCUUUCUAAUCCUUGAAGUUUUAAGAUGCAAGUGGCUUGCAAGAGGCCAUUCCAAGCCCAAGAAUAGUUUGAGGAAUAACAUAUAACAAAGUUUCUUUGCAGACAACUUUUUUUUUUUUUUUUUUAUUCCAGGCAGCUGCUGCAGAAAUUAACUUUAAGUCUUAGUUCCAUACAGGGGACCAUAUUUUAAGAUGAAAGUUAAAGACGUACUUUCUUAAAACCUUUAGGAAUGGUUGUAUUUUAUAAUAGCAUGCUAAAAGAGAAUUUGUUCAUAAACAAAUUUUACAAUGGAGAGUUGAAAACAGAAUUUAAAAUACCCAUUUAAUAUCAAAGAUAAUAUAUUCCAAAAUGCAAAAGCAAAGAUGGCUUUAGUAUCAUAAAUAGGUCUAUAUUGAUAUCUACAUUCUGCAAUCAACAAUAUCCAAAGAGAAAUUCAGAAAAAAAAAACUGAAAUCUGGGCAUUCAGACAGAGAGUACAUAUAAUCUCUCCUGGGUAGAGAGGCAGGGAACUGACUGCACAACAUGGAAGCCAGGCUGAAAGGUCACUUGGUUCAGUAAAAUGAUCUUGUGUAGCUUCACAAAACAUCACAUGCUAGCAAAAAUUUGUACCUGAAUGUUGGGAUUCUGCCCAUUGAUAUCUGCUUUUGACAGGUCAGGGAAGUUUGGGAGAUCCAGGAGGAAAGAUCUGGGUCCAUCUCUUUGUAAGGACGUGUGCCCGUUUUCCUGCCUGAAUCGCUGCUUAGGGAAUGGCCGGUGGGCAGCCUGAAGAUCAGGGUAUUCUCUUCUGUCCUCGGGGUUCAGGGUAAAGCUGUCUUCAGGAGAAUGGUCAUCUGCAGUAAGUGUGUUCUGGGAAAAAAAGCAACACACUAUAACAACAACUGAGGUGCAGUCCUGCCAGUACCCCCAUCUCCAGCUUCCUGCUAAUGGUGGCUGCAGACUGCAGGUAGAAAUCCUUACAGCAUCCAGACCCACCAUUACUUUCUUAAACAUCCAAGAUUUACCAUGUAUUUUCUAGGGUGUCAUGAGUUUGGCACUGGAUUCUCACUGAAAUAUACUCAGUUACGCUGGUGCAAAACCGUAACCAUCUGACACAAGAUAAAACUGAGUCAGGCUUGGGUGCUUGGGGCUUUCAGGUUCCUGGAACAUUCCAGCUUUCCAGUGACACCUGCACUUUGACACAAAUGUUUAAUUAAUGCAAAUCUGGAAACAUGAAGAUCUGAAGCAAUCCCUGUGAAAUGAAGUUGUAUCAGAUUAAACACAUCCCUAAAAUGGUGGAAGGAUGUCUUUGCCACUAAGCAUUUCAGUUUGCUUUGUUCCAGAGUGGAGCAAAACCAGUGCUAAGUUCUUGCUGAAAUUUAUGGUAUUCAAAGAUCCUACUGUGUUGAGCUGGCAGCUUCUCUCUCUCUCCUCAGUUUGCAGCAACUUCCAUCUAGUUGUCUGUCUUCCUCACCCAAUUUCUCUGGUCUUGAACAUCUGAACCUUCCUUCCUCUGGGAUCUCAUUUUCAUGUUUGCCUAAUGGUGGGAUUGAAUUUCACCAAGUUGUGGGUCAGCGGUUAAUGCUUUUGUUAUUGCUGAGCGUACUUUUGGGUUUUGUAGUUUAUUACAGCAGGCUGCCUUGGAACCAGUAGCACUGCUGCCACUGCCUUUGACCUCACCAAGGAGAUACAUUUAGUAUCAAAACACUCUCUCCCUGGGUUAGGACUGGCCUGGGGACUCGGAAAAAAAAAAAAAAAAAAGCAGACAAGUCAAAAAAAAGAAAAAAAAUGCAUGGGGCAAAUUCAACACAGGUUUUGCUUUUGACUCAGCUGAAAAAAUUUAGGUUUGAGGUCUUAGUAUGACUGCCUGGGGAGCUUUUAUUUUCAGUUCAUAAAGAUACAGCAAGCAUGGAUAGGGUAAAUGUUAAAAACCUAUCUUUUAAAACAAGCACAAUUAAAGUGGAAUGGCCACAUGUGGUUCUGGCUCUUCUGAAGCAUAUUUUUGCCAGCAUAUCUGGUUAAACACAAUCUUCAUUCAGCUCCCCUGGCUCAAAUUAAGCUAGCAUACCUUUUGUUAAGGUCUCAGAUACACAGCAGUUCCAGUGCCUUUUAUUUUGUGUUUAUUUGCUCAGACUGUUCUAAAUUGACCUUUGAAGAGAUUUUACAAUGUAAUCUGUGCACAUUACAGGAAGAUAUUCAGGGAGUUAAAUAAAUCAAGAUUUAAGAGUUAAUCUGGGACUAAGUGAAAUCUCAAGCAAAAGCUAAGGCAUUUCUCUUCUCCCCCUCUCACUGCACUGCAUUUGUAGAGAAGACCAAAAAUCAGAUUUUUGUAGUAUUAGUAUGUUCUUGGUGUGUUCAUGAUCAGAAUAUUUAUAAUCUGAAAGUAUCAAAAGGCUACUAAACAUCUCUCUACAGCACAAAUGUACAAAGUUCAUUCCAAGUUAGUGUACGCAUGCAGUGGUAGAAGCCUUUGUGCUCCUAACUGCGUUGUUUGAAUGCCAAAACAGCAAUGCUGCUCUUUGCUACAGACCAGGCAAGACUUUGGGAUGCCUUUGGUAGGCCAUCCAUUAACACACACCUUAUUUAACGUAGAGUAGAAAGAAAAUGAGCUUGCAUGGCUGCAAGCUCUAGGAAAUAAAACUGAGGGCCACUUAGCUCACUUUAGGGUCCUUACCCACAUGUUUGUGCUUUAACUUAACACUUAUCAAACCAAAUUUAACUUCAGACUUCUUGGUGCAUGAGGAUUAAAUGGCUUCUCAGCUAUGCCUGACCAACAACAAGGAGUAAUUGCACCGUUAUUAAAUUACUUCAGACAGGAACCAAAAAAGUGGUGUUUUCAACUACUUUUUUUUUUUUUUCCUGAGGUACCAUGCACAUAAUCUUGCCUUUAUUAAAAAUAAAGUGAGAAUUUAUUAAAAAAUAAUAAAAUUCUCACACACAAUUCCAUUCUUUUGCUAUUUGCUUGCACAUUCAGGAGCAUCUUGAUUCUCUGCAUUAACGUACCGUACAGCUAGAGAGCUGGCCACGGGCUUUAGAGCUCUACGUUUAAUUCCCUGAUAAGACUCGCUGUGUGAUCUCGGCAGGUCACGGUCUGUCUGUGCCUUGGUGGGGAUAACAGCACUUCCCUUCCUCACUGUGAUGUUUGUGGGGAGUUCGGCAACUACAAUAAUAUGGGCUAUAUAAAAAAGUUUUUAAUAGUGUCAAACAGAUGGAAUAUCACAUGGAGUUAGUUAGAAAAUUGUCAUGGCGAAGUAAUGACAUCAGGCUGAUCGGGCCCACUACCAAGCUGCUUGGGGCAGGGACUGUCAUUAAUUACAGCCUGACUGAGUAGGGGUUGCUGAACGUUAGAAAGGAAAACUGAGGGGAACAUCAAAACUGCCCCAUGCCAGGGGCUGCUGCAGCGAGGAAGGAGAUGGACCUCUGCAUCUUCAGGGUGGACAGGAGCAGGAGGUGCUGGUUCAACAUCAGUAACACAUUUCUAAUGGCAGUGACCAUGAAAAACAACUUCAGAAUUUAGAGUUGGAAGGGACCUACAAAGAUCAUCAAGUCCAGCUGCCUGACCACUUCAGGGCUAACCAAAAGUCAAAGCAUAUUAUUGAGGGCAUUGUCCGAAUGCCGCUUAAACACUGACAGGCUUGGGCAUCAACCACCUCUUUAGGAAGCCUGUCCCAUUGUCUGACCACCCUCACAGCAAAGAAACUGUUCCUAACACCCAGCCUGACCCUCCCCUGACACAGCUUUGUGCUGCCACCGCAUGUCUUGUCAUUGGCUACCAGGAAGGGACUGGAGCUGCCCUCUGCAUGUCACCUCCUCAGGCAGUUGUAGAGAGCCAUGAGGUCACCCCACCGCCUUUUUCUCCAGGCCAGACACAGUUUGAGAGCCGACUAUGCUGGGGAGAACGUGGAGCCUGUCUGUAAGAACAGGGUGGACUAGUGUCUGUCAGGCAUGGCAGAGGUCAUGCAGAGCACCCGCUGCCUAAAAGCCACGCCGGCUUUUGCAGACCCUCUCAGGCCAGGGCAAGCCCACACUGAGCCUUGUGUGUCAGACUGCAGCAGAAGCUGUCAGCCAACACGACGGGUUCAGCUAUCAUCUGCUCACGGUACCACCAGCAAAAGAGCGUUUGUUCUCAGUCAUUAAAAUAAAUAGGAGGCCUGCUUUUUAGAUAAAUCAUUUUUGGCAUUGUGUCUAAACUAAUGUGGAACAUUACUAGAAACAUUUAUUUCUGGUAGGAAGGUAACAGAGGCUGCCGUCAAUAAAAGUGAGCGUGCACUGCACCUGACAAGCAGAAGAUGGGCUCAGUGGUGUAUGGCACUAACUCAGGGGAUGGCUCUUCCAAGGCCAGCCCAGCAGGGAAAAGUGUGUCCGUACUGCAGUGCCAGCAUGCCUUCUGAAGAAAGCAGUGUUUGUGUUCCAAAGCUAACAGAUGAAAACCUGGGGAGGGCUAUCCUUCUCUUCUUAUUUCUAAGUUAUUUCACAUGUUUUUAUUUCACACUAUUUAUUUUUGGGUGUAUACAAUUUGUAUUUCCGAUUGCUUUUGGGAAAGCGGGGUUGCUUCCCUUGCUUCAGAAGCAAUGUCACUUCAUUCUGAACUACUGACUCAGUUUCCUUGAAGUUAUGACAUUUCUAAAUCAGGCACAUCAUUGGUUUAUUGCUCAAAUGAUGCAUCUGCUCUAAAUAUUUUAAGAUAAAUCACUUUUUUCCCUUCAUUUAACAGGAUUAUUCAUAACUUUUAAACUUUCCAUUAGGAUGACUUUUAAGGGGUUACUCAUGAUUGCUGUCAGCCACAAUUCUGCCGUCCCCGUGGGAUCAGAUAUUUAUGGAAGUCCCCAGUAUGAAAACAGCUUAGGAUUUCUGAGCAUUCUAAGUGUGGACAGUAUACAAGGGCAGGAACUCAUUAUUCAUAGCCGUGUGACAAGGCACUGAAAUAAACCCUAUAGAGAGAAUCUGCCACGCUGUUUGUGUUACACACUAACAUACCCUGCCAUAGUCAUCCCUGAAAAAGGGGGGGUGGCAAUAAUUCCCUACCCCUUGUCUGCUGCGUUUAGGCUCUGUGAAGAAGUGGCAAAUGGGGAGCACAGUUAAAAUACAUUAGAAAAGAGAGCACAGAGAUAAAAUGUGCUAUCUAUCAUCUCCUUCAUGGCAGAAGCUGUACAGGGUGGAGUGUGACGGAUGAGUUGGGCCGUGCAAGAAAAAAUAAAGCAGACCCUGAGCAUCGUUAUCCCAUCUCUGCCACAGACUGAUAUGAGACUUGAUGAAGUCACUCCGAUUUGGUUUAAAAUCCCACAUAUCGAUGUAUUUGUGUCUACCUAUAAACCAGGGAAGAAGAACAAUUCACAGGCAUUUUGUGAGGAUAACUUUAAAAGUUGGUGAUACCGGUGGGACUUACACAAUGGCAUGGUUUAAGGCAGCAAGAUACAACUCUGCAUGCGGGUAAAAUUUCCUACCUGAUACUGCAGCUUAAAUUUUCAAUAAUUAAAUGGGUAUUUUAGCUCUGUCCGCUGCUGCCUUAUUGUUUCUACCUCUAUCAUGUUAGACGUGAGCUGCAGGGAAGUGCACCGUUUCUCUUUCCCAUAGAUAAUUAAACAGAAUUUGGAACUUCUAAAAAUACGCUACUAGGGGAAAAGGGAAGUCCCCUGCAUUUUUAGCAAGUGAGGAAUCCAUCUCCUUCCUCUCCCCUUUAUUUUAAUCCCAUUUCUAGCUCUGGAAGAACAACCAAGACAGGGAAUAGGUGAGGAAUGGCUGGACCUACAGAAAACAUUCUGUAGGAGCUGCUCUUUCUCUGACUUUCAUAGUUCUUACUCACCUUCUUUCAUUUGCUCCCCACUUGCCAAGCUAAGGGCACAUUUGCAAGCACUGCUAAUUACAGAGCUGAAAGAAUUUGGGAAAACUGAUGCCGCUUAUAACCCUAACAACUCCCAGACAGAAAGGGAAUCUAUUACCAAAUACCUGCUAUGGCUACACUGCCUUUAUUUUUUUUUAUUUUUUAUUUCUUGUAUACUCCUUUGAAAUAUCUUGUAAAAUGAUCUUGACAAGAGGUCUUGAAUUGAAACCCGACAGUCUGUCAAUGCACUUUCAUGAUGCACCUGUACAGCAUCUUCAACCACCACGAACGAGGAACAUUUAUUUAUUAGGAAACUUCACAGACGCUAUAAAAGAUUAUAUUGCUAUCAGAGACAAAAUGAGGCCUGGGGCCUUCACAGAAAAUCAUUAUAGCCAUUAGGGCUGGUUUCAUUUCCCACCUGCCUAAACAGAUUGUUUUGAUUUUGAAGGCUGUCGUGUGUUUCCAAGUUAGUGCCAAAUGAUCACUUUAAAAUUAACCCAUCUGGGGCGGCUGAGUAACGCACCGGGAUACCACAUGAGACUUUCACCUCCGCAGAUCCAAGAUCCGUAAUGAACUUGGGUGAUCUAACGCCUGGGCUUUAUUUAUUUACUUUUUAUAUCAUGAGUGUAAGCAGCAUGUGACCUAGCAUGAAGAAGUAUGAGGACAGUGUUGGGUAAGCAGACAGUGCGGCUAACAGCUGAAAAGCAUUAUCGGAGAUACACAGAGGAGAAUUUAUUUUAUGAUUAAUGCCACGUACAGUCCAGGCAGUCAGGAGACCCACGUUCUCUUCCUAGCUCUGUUGUGGCUUUCUUAUAAAACAGGCAGCUCAGUUAGGCUCAUACUUAAUUUCUGUGGUGGCGCUGAGCCUCGCAGCUCCUUCGCUCCAAGGAGUCACUGACAGCUCCCACCUCCAGAAGUCACACCAGAGGUGUGGCACAUCAACCACCCAGCUUCUGAAACACUCGCAUUUUCCUUAAAGCAUGCUUGUCCCUCAUGUUCACAACCGUCAGUGAGGCAAAAGACUUACUUAUCUUUGGAAAGCCACAUAAAUUAAUUGAUGCAGUAAUUAAUAGCCCAUUUUAGACAACCACGGUUCAUAAAUCAUUUAAAAUGGACUACACUGGCUUGCAUGUACACAACCAUUUUCACAAAGUGGCUGCAAAACCUAUCAUCUGUUUUAAGCAUUGUGCAUACAGAAGACGAAUUGCUGAUACAGGUGCUAAAAAGAAAGUCCUGUUUAGCGUGGUCUAUUUUUUAAUAUCUCAAUUCAGUCUAGAAAAAUUAGUAAAAUGACAUUGUAUCCCAUUCUCUUUAACCUGCAUGUAUGACUAGAUGGCUAUGGAGACACCAACCCAGGCAUCCCACAGGGUACUGCCGUGGGAUGCAUUAGCUCCAGGGGCUGUGGAGCUUUUUGAUUUUGUUUCUGUGACGAACAGGAGUUGCAGGAGCUGCAAACUGUUGUAAUAGGACAGCAGAACUUCAGAGUGGAAGUGGUGAUCUGCAGUCACUGUUGGAGGUUAAACGCUGGGUGCCAGUGGCAGCAGUUACGUAGCUGGGGGUGCCCUACUGCUGCUGGUUUUCUCAUGCAUGCUGAGAUAGCUCUUGGGAGCUGUGUACAGCAGAAGCAGCACCUCAAAGCAUCUGGGCACACUCAUCUCAGAAUCAGAGCUUUUUAUUUUUAUUUUUAUUUUCACUAGAAAAUUCUAGCCUCCUAGUUCCACAGAAAAUCUUGAGAGCUGAGCACUCAGCUGAGACUUAUGCUAUGUCUGCAGGGAUGCAGGGGCAGUGGUACUGAGGCCACCUUCCCACCUAAGCUCCAGUAAGUCCCAGACCACUCUUCUGAGGCACAUACCCAACACUACGGCAGGACUCUCCGCAGCAGAAAAGCCCUACUGCCAUUCCUCCCUUGCUGAGGCUGAAUAAACAGCCUCCAUAUGCUUGCAAUCAUCGACCCUUGGUCCAUCCUUUCUUCAGCCUCUGUCUGGUGAGCUUCUCUCACCAGGCUCCCCGUCUCUUCCACAGCAUUACUAAACACUAGGUUCGGAGCCGAACUGCUCUGGCAGUCAAUAUUGUUUUCCUCAGAGCUCAAGGAGAAAACCAACCAUAUUAUACUCAGAUCUGGCAAUUUUUUUCCUACAUGUUGUGGACACACAUUUCACAGCACAGCUAUUUUUCAUGCUCUGUUGUUUGCUUGUAUUUUGUGUUUUCUUUCAGCUGCAAAAUACAAACAGUAUGGCUCAACUUAGAGGUGAAGAGCUGCCAGUUUGUAUAAACACUGAUAAUAAAAUGGACUUGAUGGUGAUUACAAUUCAAUGUCUGCAGGAAAAAACAGAGGCCCUUUAGCAAAUUUUUCUAACACAGUACACACUGAUGCUUUGUUCUUCAGCAGAUACUCAGCCAUCCAUGAGACAGCCAAGUGCACAGAAUUAAAAUUAUGUAGGGCUUUGACAGAUGAUCAGUGCCAAGUUUUGCUUGUAGUUAACAGAUAUUUCCAGUUGCUUAAGCUGGUGGUAAACCUUUAGUCAUUCUUUAUGACUCUGAUGAUCUUCCCCGUAAUCACCGCCUGGCUGGAGCUCUCCAUGCAGGACUCAUUGAUUUAGCAGUCGAACAGGCGAAUGCACAACUGGAGAGCAAGCCAACUAUUUCACUCGUAUAACCUGUGAUGCCAAAAUGCAAAUUCUUUGAAAGUACUGAUUCUUUUGGGCUUUAUUAAAUCCUUGCAUAAAAUCAGUAGCAUAAUAUAGUUUUAAACAGAAUCAAUUUAUGCCAUGGCUAAAUUUAAUUGAAGUCAUCAUUUGAAAUCUGUAUCUUAAUUUAUACACGCAGUUCCAAGAGAAUGGGAAACUCUGCCUUAAGCUGUAAUCAAAACCACUAAAGUAAAGGAUAUCCAGAGUAUUAAUACUUUUUGUAUACAACUUUUUGGUCAGGCUUUGCAGGCCAGCAAACAAAAAGUCAGUGUAAAUGAAAGAGAACAAACAUACAUCUGAAAUUAUUUUCAUGGGUUUUAAACUAGGUCCUUUUGCAAGUUUAUUCCACUAAAUCACUGUAGCUAGGAUUUCACUAGGUGAACCAGCUUUAAUAAAUGAAGUUUUCAUCUCUCCCUAGCCAAAAGAGUAACCUUACUUGAAACCUUUUCAAUUUUCAAAGUUGCCUUCAGCUGUUAGUUUCCAAGAAACAGCUAUUCCCAGCCUCUGUGUCUCCCUCUUAUAUGCCACUGAAUAUCCACCCUAUGCUUUCAAAAGUGUCUGUGACUCUGGCUGUGCUAGCUGGCAGAUGUUUUUAGAGACUAGAAAGUGUUUAGUCCCUGUGGACCAAAAGUUACAUGAUGACUUCAUCACAUAAGCAAAAGCUAAUAACGGGAAAGCAAGAAAGCAGACAAGUGUUAUAUUCCAAAAACAUGAUGUUUCCUGUGCUUCUGGCAAUACUACUUCUGUGCCUGAAAAAAGGCAAGUCGCUGGUCUUGAUGCUCAAAACACACACGCCAUCGAAGCACUGUGAGAUAAUUUACUAGACCCUCUGUUAGCUGCAUUCCCCACCAACACGAGUUUUUAUUUUGAUAGAAGUUAGAGGGUGAAGGCAGAGGAAAAGCAGCGCUUGUUUAUAUUCAAUACCUAUGCCCCAAGUAUAUGCCUUACAACACUCUAUAGAAGGGGUUGUUACUACACCCAGGAGCUUACAGAGAAACAGCAGCAGAAACCUGAGCGGCUGCCUCGGGAUCGCGCACCUCUGCUCCUGCAGCAGAGCUCUUCCAAGGCUGGGGGUGCUGCUGUAGGCUCUCCGUCAGAAAACGCUGGAGACUGAUACACGAGCAACUGGAAGUCGUUAGCAUAAAUGGCGUCUGCACACGCAGCGCGAUAACUGUUGUGUUUGUCUGUCAAGGCAUCAUCAGCGGGCAUUGUGCCCUCUUUCUACAUCACUGUGAACUGCCCUAAUGACAGAGCAAGAGAAAGAAAGGGGAGGAAGCAGAUAGACAAGAGAAAGGCCUCCCUCCAGUGACAUGAUGGGGAAGAAGAGCAAGCAAGGAGAUGCGCAGCCCCAUGACAAGACAAUGUGAGGACCCUUCCCUGUUUAAGAGAUGAGAGAGAAAGGAUUUGCCCUGGAGAGAAAUGUGGGCUUUUUAUAUUAUAAAUUCAAUGCAUGUAUAUAUACAUUUUGUGAGAAUAGUAAGGGAGGGAGACUAUUUCCUAGAGCUGAUUAAAGAAGCAUGACUCGAUUUUCAAUUUCAAACGACUCGGGGGGCAUUCCAAUAGACUGCAGACAGGAAAUGAAUACCAUACAUGCACUGAGCAAGGCAGAUGCUUUUGAAUCUGACACCUACGUGAAAGAAAAUAUCUUCAUUUCUGUCUCCCCCCACCCCACGAUCGCUGGUUAGUUCUAGGCUAUUCUUAGAAAAUGGUUUUAUUUUUCGAACUUGUUAUAAUCGUUCCACGUGCCUGAAGCCACCCAGAUGCCACUGACAAUAAACCGUAGGGAGCUGCUGGUCAAAACCAUGCCUAGGCUAGCCACAGCAGCCAGAUGUUGCAGCAAGGUAGAGGAGGAAAGAUGAGCAGCUUGGGUUUGGGAUGUCCUAGCCUCCCCCGUUAGAGGGACGGAGCUGUGACCCUAGACGAUACACCAGCGCCCAGGGAGGAAGAACUGCUUCUGCAUAAAGGGAGAGUCCAAAGUGUCCACAGCACGUGCGCUGCAGAGCAGGUUGGAAGAGUAUUUCCUGGCAGGCUGUGGCACAGAACUCGCUUCCAGCUACUUAACUGUGCUAAAGAGACGUCUUCUCUCCUCAUAUGGCUCUUACCAGUAAACUGCGAUGAUCGUCAUGGGAGUAUUAUGGGGUUUAUAACCCGAUUGCAGUGUAAUUGUAGCUCUUUUUACCAACAGCAGCAGUGUGUGCUGGGGAAUUGGCAUAUACAACUCUUUCCCCUACUUAUUCCACAUGUGUGCAAACGCACAAUUUCAGCUGCAGUCUCCUCUUGGAUUUUACUAUGGAAAGACUUAAAUGGAAUAGAGGAAAAAAAAAAAACAACAGAGAGGUGAUAUUAAACUGGCCCUUGCUCUGAUGUUAUGCAACUAAUUAGCUCAUUUUAGUUUGAUGUAAGGACUGCGAUAGCUAUAUUCCUGAGAAUACAAGAAAAAAUAAGAUCCGUUUACUUGUAAGACCAGCAGGAGAAGAAGAAAGAAGAAUGGGUAGGUGAGAAAGGCAGCCAUGCCUUACAUUAUUCAAAAAGCCAUGAAUGUCAGAUCAAAGAAGAGCAAGAAUCAAACUCACUGCCACUGAAUUCAGCAGCUUUUUCAGAAUUAUUGAUCCCUCAAGGGCAAACUCUUUUAAACUCCAGCAAUGCCUCUAACUAUCCAGAGCUCUCAUCUGAUGCCGGCUGAGCCUCACGUAGUUUGCUUUCAUCAGCUGGCAUCUUGGGGAAAGCAGAGACAGCUAAGACACUGCUGUAUCUGGGCCUGAUGAAGGAGACAUACAGCAGAGCACAGAAAUACCAUGUGUGUAUUUUCGGCACCAGAUGUUACCUUUUAAUGGUCAUUGUGGUGGAUGUUAAAUAAAAGACCAGCUUCCUCACUGAAAAGCUGUACAUUUGGUAUCCACCGAGUCCUUGGAGAGCUUUGUCCGAGGACAGGAUGCAAUCACCCCACUGAGAGCCCAGCUGCCCUGAGCAGGAUUUGUUUGCUCAGCUCUGUCUGGAGGCACCAGCACCUUGCUGAUGAGUACAACUCACCUCGUAUUUGUUGUGGGACGAAGGUGGGAUAAGGCAGCUAAAGAGCUACUGCAGCUCAGCUGGCGACUUGUUCAUGAGUUUGGACUCACAGGUCUCAUCUGGACACCCAGAAGGACCAGGAUCCAACCCGAAAUCAAGUCUUAAGAUGUCAAAUGCACUACAGAUUGGCCUCUUCCUCCCCCUGCUUCUUGGGCCAGGUGUCUUUGGUAGGGAAGCCUGCAGGCGUUCUGCCUUGUCAGGACACUGCAGGGCCAUGCCCUAAGCCAGAGCCACUGGGAUUGGGUGCAGUAAAGCAACUUCACUGGGCACAUCCCCAGAGUGUCUCUUAAGAGCUGCCUUUGGGCUUCUGACACUGAUCCCCUUGCACCGGGCUCGCUGCUGCUGCCACCACCGCGUCACUGGGGACUGUGCACCCUGCGUCUCGCUGCCCCUAGGUUACGCGCACACCACAAUGGUGCACUGCGCAUUAUUCAGCUCUUUCCAAGCUCUUCCCACAAUUCAAAGUCUACCUAUUCUCACCAGCAUUUAGUGCUGUUUGGUACCUUAUACAUUUUCAUGAAAUAGAUGACCCUUUUCCUUCUGCGUGUUUUGAUCAAGAGCAAGAGCUAGCACUGCUACCAUUUAAAUGCAUAUCAAAAGCUCCAGGGCUCUAUCAGGCUAAAGAGUUCAUUUGAAACCUUUGGUGCUAUUGUUCCAGAACAUCUGAAGACACAGGCAUGGUGUGGCUGCCCUAGGUUCCCUUUUGAAAUAUAUUUCCACAAAUGUUCAGCAUAGACAUAUCAACCCCUCUAUUCUUUCCCAAUAAAAGCUUGGACUUUAAAGCACAAGAUGAGGAAUAGAUACUCUAUUGGCCAGCUGCAGCUAGCCUUUCAUAAAUAACAGGACAAUCAAUCCCUGUAAAGGAAAAUGAUACUCCAGAAGCUCUAUCCUGAUGUACAUCUGUUUUCCUAUUGUAGGAACGAAUAAGAUGACAGAAAAAGUUAAAUGCUGAAAGCCUAAACAAACUCUGAAUUAAGAGGAGAUGGUAGUAGAAAUGAUGGAUGAAUUGUAAACCACCUGCAAAUGUUAAGAUUGCAGCACUCUUCUGCAGACCACUGCAAACCUCCGAUAGACAUGGACUGUGCUCUGUAAAAAUCACGAUGAAUGCAGACUUGUUUUUUAUAUUAUGGAGGUCCUAAUCCUCCUCCUCCUCUGCUUUUGCUCUAUUGUUACAACAUCAAAGACCAACUGCUGGCCGAGAUACAGUCAAUAUGAAAAGGGCGACCAGCAAAUUUACUGCUUGACUUCAUUCCCUUUAAAUGGAAUAGGCACCAUGGCCCUUUUUCAAAGUCCAAUCACAGACAUAUAUCUUUUUUAUUGGACAUCAUGUACAAUAAAGUGAAGCUGUAACUUGGAAAAAAAAUAGAACACCUUAAAAAAAUCCCAUGAGGUGAACAUUCCUUUAUAAAAAUAUCACUGUGGUUACGUGUUUAGAAAAACUCUGGGUGCUCUGCAGUGCAAAAGGCAUGGACUUGUUAGGUUAUAGUUUAGCUAAGAUGCAUACCCAUGCCUAAUACCUAGUUGGUUUCCAAAUUAAAAAAAAGGCAACAAAAAACCCCAAAACUAAUAAAAAGUGAUAUAUUUAAGACAGAAUGCCAGUGUCAUUCAAAUAAACUGAAAUGGCAGCACUGAUGUCACAAGAAUCAUUAACUGCUUUGUUACAGCCUGCUCUGUGCAGUGAACCUUUACAGACUUCUUCAUGCCAGCGAAUCUUAAAAUCAGCAGCACAAAACACCAAUAUAUACACCGCAUCUUAAACAACUCCAGGCUGAUUACUGAGGUAAUUUCAAAGGACACUUUCAGAUAAGAGUUGUAUCCGCAGACAUUAAAGGCACGGGCAGUUUUAUUGCUAUUGUACCACUAAGUAGAUGCUAAGUAAUUUCCUGGUAUGAAAUUAAAGAGUGUAUAAGCAACUCAUCUGAUGUAGGAGAUGAUUCUGGUGGGGUUUUAUAGAAUCCAGGCUAGCUAGCUCUGGCUUCUAUUUUUUUUUUUCUAAUUAUAAAUGUUAUGUCAAUGUAAUGAGAAGUUUUUGUUUUAAUCUGUUUAAACUAUUAACCCAUUUUGUUUGUUUGGGUAAUUUGUGCAAAAAGAUAUUAGUAAAUGUCCGAUUAGUAACAGUAUAUCUAGAUGCAGUUCACAUGGGUUUUAAAAUCCUGCACUGAUAUGUAGGUGGCAGAUAAAACCAAGCAAGUUUAUGCUGUUAUACACCUGCAGUAAUCUUAGGCAACUGCUUCCAGUGGAGUAAUUUUGGUUUCCUCAUGGCAAAAUCUGCUGCUGAUGGCUUACUUUUAGGUGAGAAAGAUACUAAAACUAUUUGGUGUUUUUGCAAGACUAUCACCCAAAAUAGCUGUGCUGUCACUAGGCCCUCCUCGCUGCUCUUUCCAUUACGUUAUGCUCCGUUGGCAGCCUUUCCAUUGCACCUACAGCACAGACCUUCUGGGGAAAGGACCUCGCCUCCCACUCAGCCUUCCUGGGCUUGUGCAAGAAGAGGUGUUUCAAUGACAGUGUGCAUUGUUCGAUACCUGAAUACCCAAUCCUACAGGAAUGCAAAGGCCAGACGCCUGAAGGAAGCCUUUUGGAAGUUAAACCCGCCCGAGGGCAGCACCCACCCAGUGCCUCUUCCUUAGAAAGGGAGGACUCCGCUUUUUCAGAGCAGUACUGUAAAGAGGGAUGGAAAAAGAUGAAGAAAAACAUUAUCUGGGUGGUUUAUACAGAUACACUGCACUCAUGGUAAAGUGCUGAUCUCAACAGCUGUGCAGGCGAAGAGACUAUUUUAAUCUUUCCGAGGAAGAAGAGCUACUGCGGAACAAAACAGCCCAAGAUAUUUCAGUGGGUAUGAAAAUAACAAAGAAACAUUUUGGAUGGAAAUGGAUUCCUGCAAUCAGAAGAAAACUACAUGCCAAAGCCCAGCUUGUUUUCAUGGAUGGAGGUCCGGAUUAAGUGCGCUACACGCAUGUCAAUUCUUUAGAAAAAAUGAGUUGUGGAAUAUUCAGAUCCAAGAGGAACUUUGGCUGGGUCUGCAGCCAGCACAAGUCAUUGACUCCUCUUGCUUCAUGAAAGUCAGAGGCACAAGGUCAAUUUAAACACACUGAGAACGUAGGUCUAGCAUGGAGAUGCAAAAGCCAAGGUACCUUUGAACUUCUCCUGCCUUUCAACAUGGACCGGACCCACUGCAACUGACGAAAGAAAGAUUUCAUCUCUGAUUUUCCUCUCUCAUCUUUAUGAGCACCUCCAUAAAUUGAAAAGGACCCAAAUUAUCAUUAGACUAAAAGAGCUUAGAGGUGAACAACUCCGGGCCUGCUUUCAUCCUGCUGCCAGCUUGAAGGGAAGAAUACAAAAAUACGCCCCACUACUAUGAUUUCUCCAAGCACAGAAAAACAAGGGCAAAAGGAUAAAGGAACAGCUUACCAGUACCGCCCACACCAGCUCCUCCGACCAAGUAUUACACUGCUGCACAACUGACCAAUGUGGCAAGCCAUCACUUGUUACAAUGACAAGUUACGUUUUGCUUUGUUUUCUUUCUUUUUCUGGUACUUCAAACUGAAAAUACAUGGAAACACCAGCACUGGAAAGGCUCUGCUCUUACGGAUGGGUCUAUGGGCUCAGUGCUCUAUUUCUUGGAAGCCUUACUCAUCCGAAUGUGUUCAACUGUGACUUUUAACCUGGCAUUUUCUGUCUUGAAAACUUUUAAAAUCAGUAUCCUGAGGGCACAAUGGUAUUACAAUGCAACAGUUAGCACUGUAUUAUUUAAUACUUCCUUUUGCAACUUACUAAAGCACUUUCUAUUUUUCUGCUGUACGCUGUCACUUUAUUAUCCAUUGUGACAGUGCCUACAGCCUCCACUCAUGCCUGGAGACCUAUUGUACUACAUAUUGCUUGCAAGCAACAACAACAACAACAACAAAAGAAUCUCAACCACAAAGAGCCUUGGUUGAGAUUUCAAAAAUAAAGGAAAAAAAUAAAAUGCAUCACUGACCUAGAUCUGCUACUACUGAAAAAUAAUGCUUUAAAAAAGUCAGCUUUAAUGGAGAACAUAAGUUAGUCAACUCAAAGAGCUUUUGAUUAGUCUAGUCUUAAGGCAGAUAGGAAGAUAUGAAUCUAGCAAAGCAGGCCAAACAAGCACCAAACAACACUGAGAACAGCACAAGUGAGGUACAGCUGGGUACCACCUCAGGCGUUCACAUGGAAGACCAGUAAAAUGCACAGAAAAGUGUGCAGCAGCCAACUCUGAUACUUAAACCUGGCACAGCCCCUAAAUCUUAUCUGUCACUAUACUUUCAGGAUAUAAGCCCAAAGAAAAACUAGCUUGCUUCACUUUUAUAGUUUAUGUUUGUGUAAGAAAACAUCUAAAUUGCCUGCAUAUAUAUUUGAAGUGUGAGUGCAUUUCAAGAUUGUUUAAUGACUUAGGAGAAUGUAAGCAUCAAAAGAGAAUGGCAAGACAAUUUCCUACCAUUGCUUGCAUUCUGUGCACUUUUAUAUUGUGGGGGAAAAAAAGGAAAAAAAAAAAAAAAAAGGAAAUUGUUAAGCAUGAAUAUCUACAAACCUGUGGGAAGGCCAAGAUAGCGUAGUCCGCAUCGUUAUCACUACUACUGUCUCACACAGGGUGAGUGCAUGGGAGCCCGUUCCCCGUUUUGAUUUGGGCAUUUCAGCAUCAAGUAAGCAGGACUAAAACCGGUGAUGUUUUGAGCAGAAACCUGUGGUUACUGUGCUGAAGCUGCUUUGCAGCAGAGAUGCGCAUGGGGCAGGGCCUGUGCCGGGCACCACUUCCUUACUGACCUGUGAGGGUUUCCUCGGGCGGGCUCUGCCCCGCUCAGUGGCAGAGGAACCAUGGCCAGAAGGUGGCUUCUUCCUAGGGGAAAGCAAGAGCUGUGCCACAACGUGCCUGCUCCGCUCAGCGAACAAUGAUGCACUAGACGAUGUGAGCCAGGCAGCCUUUUCACCUCCAAAUGAGGACUACAGCGCAGCCCCGUAACCAGAGAGAACUUCUGUCCAACAGAGAAUGAAGUGAGGUUGGGCAGCUCUGCAACGGGCAGCCUCUGCACUUCACUUUGUGAGGUUUUCAGAUGCUGCAACACAACACAGCCAGAGUUUUCACCUAAUCUUUCACUGCUCCUUGUUUUCUUUAAAGAAGUUUUUCCCCAUUUUGGAACAAUGAGGCACUGGUUAUCAAUAUACAGAUGCAGACAAAAGAAAAACUGCUGAAUUCAAAACACAGAUCCCAAUUUACAUUUAAUACUACCUGAAUCGGUUAAACAGCUCUCUCCCCAGCAAAACAACUGCAAAGCAGAGCAAGGUGUUGAAAAGCUUAGCAUGCUGAAGCUCUAAGUACUAGGGAUGGGUUACCUAUUAGCAGGUCAUAACGCGUGUGAUAAAAUCACAGGGGAAUACACAGUGACCAGCUCCUGCCUGACAGUAAAACGAUGAUGAAAUUGUUGGGGCCGUGAAGACCAACAGCAGAGCUCCAAGCAGAGGCCUCCUGUCUCUGUGGACAGCUGGUGUGAGGAAGGACAGAGCGGGGAAGUGCAGCUGGACCUAAGGACUGACGGCCUGAGCAGGAGGAGCGAAGGAGAGAUUUCUGUGCCCAUCAGAUAACAAUUAGGACAUAGCAAGACUGAGGAAAAAAAAAAAAAGGAAAGAAAAAACAGAAGAAAGGAACACGGCAAAUCAUGCACCUACUGAACACCUGGCACUGUCUGGCACGUCUGGCAGGAGAGGGUGACAAGCUAGCCAGCUGUACAUAUGAAGCAGACUUUCACUGUAUCACACACGUAUAUAUCAAAUAUAUAAAUAUAUGAAAUUUAUAUUAAACCAACAAUAUUAUUUUUUCUUUAGUAUAAGUGAUAACAACCUGAAGGAUGCCCAUUUGCUUGUACCAACAGUUUUACUUUCCACAUCGAUUCUUUACCUGUGGGUGCAAUGCACUAGUGUUUUUCAUUUCACUUCAGUGUGAGCCAUGGUAACAGCCAAGAAAUCACUCAGCCCCAAAAUCUGAGGACACCAGUGCAAACCUCCCAUCCAGGUCUCUAUUGCGAUGCCCUGAAUGGAAGCAUCUGCCUGUCAGGGUUCCAUUUGCUGAAGCAGGUCACAAUAUUUUCUGGCUAGCGAAGGAAUCCAUGAAAGUUAUAAAACAAAAAAAUGGAUCGACUGCCAUCUGUUUCACUGAUUGCUCUAAUCAAUAUACUUUCCUCCCCUAAUGUCUUGUACAGACACGCUCUCUCAAAUACGUAACUGCAGAAUCAAUUCAGCUGGGAAGUAUAUAAAAAUUUCAAUUUGAUAAAUGUCAAAACACGACAAAAAACAUGAACUGCUAAAGCUAUCACGAUGCUUAAAGGCACAGACUUUCAUUAAGCUAUCUGUAAAAAAAAUAGAACCGGACGGAAAAAAAUUCUUGAAGUCACCAAUCAACAGAUUUUGAUGAGACAGUGUGACAAGACUCGAGGACAAUUAUCUGAUCUUCCUCCCGCUUCACCUUAACUUUACAAUAGCGCUCUAAAAAGGGCUCCUCAGGGAAAUGGCAUCACCCAGAGUUCCCACUUGCCCAGAUGUUUCCCUCAUUAUGUUACAAGCCUGUCAAGAAAAGGCAAAUUCAGGGUUAUUCUAAUGAUAGCAAACACCUCAUAAAAAACCUCUCCAAAUUUACUUUUCCAAGGAACAUCACUUUAAAAGGCAUUUCAAGUGCCCAUGAGGAAAGAAAGCAUCAUUUAUAAAACAUUAUUACCAGAAAUCUUGAAGAUAUUAACAACAAAAAAAUAAAAUGUCCUGGAGCGUCAGGCCAGCGAUAAAGCUGCAGCCCCAAAGAGCGGCGGCACCUUGGGCCCUUUUCCGAGGCAUGCGGGUGAGGACUCCCGGGCAGGAUCCCCACCA